rnacentral:rRNA from 1 species
UACGUAGGGGGCAAGCGUUGUCCGGAAUCAUUGGGCGUAAAGCGCGCGUAGGCGGCCCGGUAAGUCCGCUCUGAAAGUCCAGGGCUCAACCCUGGAAAGCGGGUGGAUACUGCCGGGCUAGAAUCCGGAAGAGGCGAGUGGAAUUCCUGGUGUAGCGGUGGAAUGCGCAGAUAUCAGGAGGAACACCAAUAGCGAAGGCAGCUCGCUGGGACGUAACUGACGCUGAGACGCGAAAGCGUGGGGAGCAAACAGG